rnacentral:rRNA from 1 species
UACGUAGGGUGCAAGCGUUAAUCGGAAUUACUGGGCGUAAAGCGUGCGCAGGCGGCUUUGCAAGACAGAUGUGAAAUCCCCGGGCUUAACCUGGGAACUGCAUUUGUGACUGCAAGGCUGGAGUGCGGCAGAGGGGGAUGGAAUUCCGCGUGUAGCAGUGAAAUGCGUAGAUAUGCGGAGGAACACCGAUGGCGAAGGCAAUCCCCUGGGCCUGCACUGACGCUCAUGCACGAAAGCGUGGGGAGCAAACAGG